UCGAGGAUCUUCGGCAAUGAGCGCAAGCUUGACCGAGCGACGCCGCGUGCGGGAUGAAGGCCUUCGGGUUGUAAACCGCUUUGGUCCGGAAAUAAGGACGGAGCAAUCCGUCUUGAAUGACCGGAGAAACAAGCACGGGCUAAGUUCGUGCCAGCAGCCGCGGUAAGACGAACCGUGCGAACGUUGUUCGGAAUCACUGGGCUUAAAGGGCGCGUAGGCGGCCGAGUGGGUCGUGGGUGAAAUCCCCCAGCUUAACUGGGGAACUGCCUACGAUACCGCAGGGCUCGAGGGAGGAAGGGGCGGCCGGAACUGUCGGUGGAGCGGUGAAAUGCGUUGAUAUCGACAGGAACGCCGGUGGCGAAAGCGGGCCGCUGGCCCUCUUCUGACGCUGAGGCGCGAAAGCCAGGGGAGCGAACGG
rnacentral:rRNA from 1 species